rnacentral:rRNA from 1 species
CAAAAUAAAACUUUCAACAACGGAUCUCUUGGCUCUCGCAUCGAUGAAGAACGCAGCGAAUUGCGAUAAGUAAUGUGAAUUGCAGAAUUCAGUGAAUCAUCGAAUCUUUGAACGCAGCUUGCGCUCUCUGGUAUUCCGGAGAGCAUGCCUGUUUCAGUGUCAUGAAAUCUCAACCACUAGGGUUUCCUAAUGGAUUGGAUUUGGGCGUCUGCGAUUUCUGAUCGCUCGCCUUAAAAGAGUUAGCAAGUUUGACAUUAAUGUCUGGUGUAAUAAGUUUCACUGGGUCCAUUGUGUUGAAGCGUGCUUCUAAUCGUCCGCAAGGACAAUUCCUAUGACUAAGCGGAGGAAUCACUUCCCGUUUGACAAC